AAGACUCCUUUCAGGGAUCAUUUCUGUAGUUCGUUACUAGAGAAGUUUCCCUGAUCAUGUAGAGCUUCCGAGCCCACGAGGAGGAGCCAGAGCAUCUGCUCCUGAGCAUGAAGCCAGUUCCAGGUGUUGCUUUUGCAACCUUUUUUUUUUAAAAAAAAACAUUGAGGAUCAUUCUUCUCUUCCCUUAGAAGAGGGAGAGGGAGAGGAAGCAGUUCGAGUGG
ensembl:snoRNA U3 Small nucleolar RNA U3